CCAGACUCCUACGGGAGGCAGCAGUGGGGAAUAUUGCACAAUGGGGGAAACCCUGAUGCAGCCAUGCCGCGUGUGUGAAGAAGGCCUUCGGGUUGUAAAGCACUUUCAGCGAGGAGGAAAGGUCAGUAGCUAAUAUCUGCUGGCUGUGACGUUACUCGCAGAAGAAGCACCGGCUAACUCCGUGCCAGCAGCCGCGGUAAUACGGAGGGUGCACGCGUUAAUCGGAAUUACUGGGCGUAAAGCGCACGCAGGCGGUUGGAUAAGUUAGAUGUGCAAGCCCCGGGCUCAACCUGGGAAUUGCAUUUAAAACUGUCCAGCUAGAGUCUUGUAGAGGGGGGUAGAAUUCCAGGUGUAGCGGUGAAAUGCGUAGAGAUCUGGAGGAAUACCGGUGGCGAAGGCGGCCCCCUGGACAAAGACUGACGCUCAGGUGCGAAAGCGUGGGGAGCAAACAGGAUUAGAUACCCUGGUAGUCCACGCCGUAAACGAUGUCGAUUUGGAGGCUGUGUCCUUGAGACGUGGCUUCCGGAGCUAACGCGUUAAAUCGACCGCCUGGGGAGUACGGCCGCAAGGUUAAAACUCAAAUGAAUUGACGGGGGCCCGCACAAGCGGUGGAGCAUGUGGUUUAAUUCGAUGCAACGCGAAGAACCUUACCUGGCCUUGACAUGUCUGGAAUCCUGCAGAGAUGCGGGAGUGCCUUCGGGAAUCAGAACACAGGUGCU
rnacentral:rRNA from 1 species